AGCCAGUCUCCAGCAGGGCUGUGCAAAACCCAUCCAUGCCUGGGAGAGCGUGCCCAUGCAAUCGCACCCUGGGAACCGGUUCACCAGCUCUGCAAGCAGGGGCCUGUCUGGUGAGGGAGUCUGUCUCAGCUCUUGAGGAGCCAUGUGUCUUUAAAACACCCCGAGGAUGACAGAUUUGGGGGCAGCUUUUGGAAAUGAGGAGCCAGCUGAGGCUGGGGAUGCUCAGCAGGCAUCCAUGAGGAUUUGGUUCAGCUUUUCAAGGGGACUCAUGACAGGAAAGCCGUGACUGUAUCCUGCAAGCGCCCCUAUCUGCUGCUGCGAUCUCCCUUUGUUUGGCUGCCAGCUCUCCGCACCUGCGUGCAUGCCGGCUCUCCCUCCCCGCUGCGGGUUGCUGGGACAGGAUAAUUUGGAGGCAAUGACCUGCCUUGCCCUUUUCCAAGAUUGCGCUCCAGAUUACCACCAGACUCUACAUCAGCAUCACCAAGUCCCUUUAAGUGAUGGCAAGAAGCAGAUGAGGCUCCUGGCCAGCAUGGGCUCCAAGUAUUCACCACAGCCACUCAGGGAAAGGAAACAAGCUGGAUGGACCCACUUGGGCAUUCCCUGUCCAGGAGGAACCAUGACAGACAGACCACCAGCCCAGAGAAGCCUCUAGAGACCUUGCUUGAAUGGAAGGAGGAGGUGCUCUGCUACCGUUUCAUCUCUUAAAGAGAAGCAGGGACUGAGUCAUUAAAAUCUUAUCUAUGUCAUCCUCAUUUGCUUGAACUUUUGUAGCUUCUUCUCCUACCCAAAGAGAAGAGCGAGGACUGGAGCAGCUGUGGGAGUCCCUGGCCACAGCAUACAAAGCCCACUUGUUAUCAGCACUGUCAUAUGCCUCUCUGCUCCCUCCCCCUUCCCAGCUCCACCACAACCGCUGCAUCCCAACAGCACAAGCCGGGCAUCCAUCAAAAGGGCUAUUAUCCCACGAUUUCUUAACAGCCACUGUUGCUCUUGGAUAUGGAGAACCAAGCUCCCCCUUUGACACAGUGCCCCGAGCUAAGGAAUAGUGGUGCCUGUCGCUGGCUGGCAUUCUGAUCUGCAGAUUGUCAUGGAAGCCAGGGUGGGAUGGGGAGCUGCUGCCUGUACACGGGGUUGGGUUAGCAAUUUAGGCCUUCCCUCCAGCCCUGCAAGGUAGACAGGUCCUACAGAGUUCAUGCUUUUGGCCUCCAGAUGUUAGCAGUGAGGGUAACUCCCAUGGAGGGUGGCUAAGAGACCACAUCCUUCAUUCUUUACGGCUCAUGCUUUUAAUCUGCUCUUCCUGGACUGGGGGAGAAAAAGGGCACAGAAACAGUCACCAACCUCUGGAGUAGGCAAAGGGUCUGUGGUGCAUGGAGAGGCAGCUUCCAGAGAUGCGCACAUUGACUCAGGCAACCUCUGACUGGCUCCGGGCACUGACAUCCCCAGAGCCUGCUGGAGGGGGCCCCUUCGCCCUUUUGCCCCACAGGCAGUAGGUGCUGGCACUGCUUGCCCCUGCCUCCAUCACAGGUGCCUUCUUCUUGCUGCAUAUGAACAGGCAAAUUGGUGACAGCACAGACAGUGCCAGCUCUUCCACACACACAAGAUCUACCAGCUGUGACACCACGGGCGAGGCUGGAGUCCUGGCAGGGAUGGGCAGA
rnacentral:lncRNA from 1 species